ACCUAGCUAAUUUUUGAUAGAGAUGGGGUUUUGCCAUGUUGGUCAGGCUGGUCUGGAACUCCUGACCCAAGGUGAUCCAUUCAUCUCAGACUCUUAAAGUGCUAGGAUUACAGAUGUGAGCCACUGC